UCUUUCUUGUAUUUAUACUAAACUCUGCCUUGCUGGCACUUCUACCCAUGGAUCCUGGUUUUGGCUUCUGAGGAAACACAGAAAAAGGAAACUCCCUCUUAUAUAUGGGAAUUCUUCCAUGUACUUGGAAGUAGCCUCAUUCUGUGUUUAAGAAGGUUCUGUGGUUAGAAUUUAGAGGAAGGCAGCUACAUUUCUUCUAUUUUCUAAGCACUUUUAGCUGACCAUUUUCAGGCCCACAAAUUAUUUUUCUCCUAAGACCUACUUUAGAAAACAACUAAACUUGAGAAUUCUCCUAGAAAUGAUUCAAUGAGGAAUAGUAUGGUACUUGACUAGAAGUUAACUCUGCCAUUUAAGAGCUAUUCUUGUUUCCUUGGGCAUAUCAUUGGGUAUAUCUGACUUUUACUUUUCAGGGUGGUUUGUUUUUGCAAAAUGAGGAAGGUCUCUGAGGUCCUUUCCAGCUCUGGAAAUUUGAGGUGAAGAAAGAGACAUGACAAGGCUAAGUGGAACUGGCAGAGUUGGUUUUCAAACCAGAUUCUCUGGCCCUCAGUCCAGAAAAAUCCAGCAGUUAAGAGCCUUUCACUCACCACGUGUCAACCCAGUCAGCAGAUUCUUCUGUCCCUCUUCACCAGCCUCAACUCAAAAGCAUGAAGAAUUGAAUUCUCACAGGAAGUAACAGCUCCUUUUAAAGACAUUUUCUCUUGCAUCACUUCCUGUGUCUUCCCCUAAUUCUACAUCUACCAAUCACAGUUGAAGUCCUGUUCUAGGACUGCCCAGAAGGCAGUUAGUCUAUUCUGAUUCUUUACCCCCUAUAGCACGUGUGGGUCACAGACCUCUCACUUCAUGAUUAAGUGGGAUGUUUGCACUUUUGGUGAUUAGAUCUAAAAUGGGCAUAUCUUCAUACUCAACUUUAAGUACCAUGUUCUAAAAAAUAGGCAAGGGAUACAAUUUAAUCUUCACAAUCAGGGGAGAGCUAAGUAUUUUCAUUGUUAUAAUCAGGGGAGAGUUAAAUUUAAUCUUCACAGUUUUGAUUUCAAUAUGUUGAGUUUGUGUUGAUUACUGACUGUCCACUAGAAAAUGCUGAACAGGCAAAUAUGAAGUUGAAUCUGGUGAUCAGGAAAGGACUAUACAUUAGAAAUCAUCCAUGAAAAGGAGAUGAUUGAGACUUCUGUACAUCUUUACCUCUUCCUUUUUCUUACCCACCUUGCCCUAUUCAGCUUCUACGGAAAUGGCAUAAUGGAAACAAAGUGACAUGACAAUGCAGAAAAGUUUUUUUAAAGAAAUUCCUGAAUGUUUUUCAGCCAUUCUGAAGUGGAGAAUACCUCCAAAGAAGAAUUAGAACUCAAAUUUCCUUCAUUGCACUCCACCCUAUCCUGAGCAUGUCUGGAUAGUACCAAACAAUAGAGAUUUUUUCCUGAAGACUGCCAGGCAAAAACUAUUUGUGAGCAAAUGAAUCUCAGAUAAUUAUUGUAAUCUGUGUUCCUCUCCUAAUAAAUGCAUUUUGGAAAAUUUUUUUCA
rnacentral:lncRNA from 1 species